rnacentral:rRNA from 1 species
GCCUAACACAUGCAAGUCGAGCGAGGAGAUCCUUCGGGAUGAUCCUAGCGGCGGACGGGUGAGUAACACGUGGGCAACCUGCCUCAUAGAGAGGAAUACGACCUUCCGAAAGGGAGAUUAAUACCUCAUAACAUUGCAGUUUCGCAUGGAACAGCAAUUAAAGGAGUAAUCCGCUAUGAGAUGGGCCCGCGGCGCAUUAGGCUAGUUGGUGAGGUAACGGCUCACCAAGGCGACGAUGCGUAGCCGACCUGAGAGGGUGAUCGGCCACAUUGGGACUGAGACACGGCCCAGACUCCUACGGGAGGCAGCAGUGGGGAAUAUUGCACAAUGGGGGAAACCCUGAUGACCAGCAACGCCGCGUGAGUGAUGACGGCCUUCGGGUUGUAAAGCUCUGUCUUCAGGGACGAUAAUGACGGUACCUGAGGAGGAAGCCACGGCUAACUACGUGCCAGCCGCCGC